UUGUAACUGUGCGAUUCAGUCCUGCACACGCCUGGACUUGAACCCGCGAAACAGACGCACCUUAGAACGGGAGUCGAGCGUGCUGAUAAUUGAGCUAAAAGCCCGGGCUAUAAGCUUUCGUGUCAGCAGCACUAUUGAGUCUGUUGGCUCUCCUUCUUCAACAACCCACAACGGCGCCCCCCGUGUCGCGCAACUUUAAUGCUUUGAAUUCAAUUUCGAAGCAGUCACGUGGGUGUGUGUGAAACGAAGCUUUGGACGUCACUGAUCACGUGAUUAUCACAAAACGAAUCAAGCUCCGAUACAAAGCUUCACUCCAAAUUGGUUCAUGUCUUCGAUACACGCUUCGAAGCAGGAGGUUCACGGGUAACAUCACUAGCAACUACGACUGGUCGAAUUGGCACUCAGUUUAGCGUGGAUGCAAGACUCGGCUGUCCGGGCUUGCUGAUUGUGGGUGAUCUGUCUCGUUACGCCUGCAUGUCCGUGUGCUUUGAGGGGGGGGGGGGGGAUUUGUGUCUUGGCAUCUUGAUCAUUUUAUUGUUUGUUUUGUUUGUGAUCAACUGUGUUCGUCUCGUAGAUACAAUUUUAAGCUGCAUCAGCAUCACCCUUAGUGGCUGUAUAUCGCCACAGCUGGAGAUUGGUCGGGCCCACUGGUGGUUGGGUACUCUUUGCUCCUCCUUAUUGGUCACCUGCAUGCUUAGUGUGUUUCCUUAUAGCGUGUUUGUGUACACUCUUAACUGCGUGUUUGCACCACCCUUUGCUGUGAGUGGCUAUCAGUGUGUGCGUGUGUGUGACUAUUUUUGCACAGGUAAAUUGGUGUCUCUUCUGGGUGCUUUCCCUCCCUCCAGUGGCCCACCUGACACACUUUCCCAGCUGGUACAGUAUUUCCUGCCCCUUUUUUACACAAGAUACAUACAUAUUUAUAUCUGACUGUAGACUGUUGUGAUUGUACUUGAUUGUAAACUGCCUAUUUGGUGAACUCAAUUUAGUGACAAAUCUAAUAAAAUACAUAUAUAUUAUACUAACUAUUUCCCUUCCAGCAGUUGAUUUGUUUCCAAAAACAUCAAUAAAAGUUUGCAUGAACUUGA